rnacentral:rRNA from 1 species
UACGUAGGGGGCAAGCGUUGUCCGGAUUUAUUGGGCGUAAAGAGCGUGUAGGCGGUUUGGUAGGUCCGCUGUGAAAACUCGAGGCUCAACCUCGAGACGCCGGUGGAAACCAUCAGACUAGAGUCCGGAAGAGGAGAGUGGAAUUCCUGGUGUAGCGGUGAAAUGCGCAGAUAUCAGGAGGAACACCGGUGGCGAAGGCGGGUCUCUGGGCCGUUACUGACGCUGAGGAGCGAAAGCGUGGGGAGCGAACAGG